rnacentral:rRNA from 1 species
GGACUACACGGGUAUCUAAUCCUGUUUGCUCCCCACGCUUUCGCUCCUCAGCGUCAGUACCGGGCCAGUGAGCCGCCUUCGCCACUGGUGUUCUUCCGAAUAUCUACGAAUUUCACCUCUACACUCGGAGUUCCACUCACCUCUCCCGGACUCAAGAUUGCCAGUAUCGAAGGCAGUUCUGGAGUUGAGCUCCAGGAUUUCACCCCCGACUUAACAAUCCGCCUACGAGCGCUUUACGCCCAGUGAUUCCGAGCAACGCUAGCCCCCUUCGUAUUACCGCGGCGGCUGGCAC